rnacentral:rRNA from 1 species
GGAGCCGUAGCGAAAGCGAGUUUUAACUGAGCGUUCAGUUACUUGACGUAGACCCGAAACCGGGCGACCUACCCAUGAGCAGGAUGAAGCGAAAGUAAAAUUUCGUGGAGGUCCGAACCCACGAGCGUUGAAAAGCUCGGGGAUGACUUGUGGGUAGCGGUGAAAUUCCAAUCGAGCCCGGAGAUAGCUGGUUCUCCCCGAAAUAGCUUUAGGGCUAGCCUCAAGGUGAGAGAUACGGAGGUAGAGCACUGAAUGUCCUAGGGGGUAUUGCACCUACCGAAGACUAUCAAACUCCGAAUGCCGUCAUCUUAUACUUGGGAGUCAGACUGUGGGUGAUAAGAUUCAUAGUCGAAAGGGCAACAGCCCAGAUCGUCAGCUAAGGUCCCUAAAUGUAAGUUAAGUGGUAAAGGAUGUGGGAUUGCACAGACAACCAGGAUGUUGGCUUAGAAGCAGCCACUCAUUCAAAGAGUGCGUAAUAGCUCACUGGUCGAGUGAUCCUGCGCCGAAGAUUUCCGGGGCUAAAACUUACUACCGAAGCUACGGCAUCAGUAAUGAUGGGUAGGGGAGCUUCCCAUACGGGUUGAAGCAUGACCGUAAGGACAUGUGGACAGUAUGGGAGUGAGAAUGUUGGCAUGAGUAGCGAGAUGUGGGUGAGAAUCCCACAGGCCGUAAACCCAAGGUUUCCAGGGGAAGGUUCGUCCGCCCUGGGUUAGUCGGGACCUAAGCUGAGGCCGAAAGGCGUAGGUGAUGGACAACAGGUUGAUAUUCCUGUACUACCGAUAACCGUUUGAGAGAAGGGAUGACACAGUAGGAUAAGCUAAGCACACUGUUGGUUAUGUGUGCCCAAGCAUUGAGGCAGUCAAAGUAGGCAAAUCCGCUUUGAUAAUGCUGGGAUGUGAUGGGGAGCGAAAUUUAGUAGCGAAGUAGCUGAUUUCACACUGUCAAGAAAAGUCUCUAUCGAGGUUAAAGGUACCCGUACCGCAAACCGACACAGGUGGGUGAGGAGAGUAUCCUAAGGCCAGCGAGAGAACUGUUGUUAAGGAACUCGGCAAAAUGACCCCGUAACUUAGGGAUAAGGGGUGCCACCAUCAGGUGGCCGCAGAGAAUAGGCCCAAGCGACUGUUUACCAAAAACAUAGGUUUCUGCUAAGUCGCAAGACGAUGUAUAGGAGCUGACGCCUGCCCGGUGCUGGAAGGUUAAGGGGAUCUGUUAGAGCAAUCGAAGCAGUGAACUUAAGCCCCAGUAAACGGCGGCCGUAACUAUAACGGUCCUAAGGUAGCGAAAUUCCUUGUCGGGUAAGUUCCGACCCGCACGAAAGGCGUAACGAUUUGGGCACUGUCUCAACAACAGACUCGGUGAAAUUGUAAUUCCGGUGAAGAUGCCGGAUACCUGCGACAGGACGGAAAGACCCCAUGGAGCUUUACUGUAGCUUGACAUUGGGUCUUGGUACUACAUGUACAGGAUAGGUGGGAGGCUUUGAAACCAGGACGCCAGUUUUGGCGGAGCCAUCCUUGGGAUACCACCCUUGUAGUACUGGGACUCUAACCAUAGGCCAUGAAUCUGGUCUUGGGACACUGUCAGGUGGGCAGUUUGACUGGGGCGGUCGCCUCCCAAAAGGUAACGGAGGCGCUCAAAGGUUCUCUCAGUACGGUCGGAAAUCGUACGUAGAGUGUAAAGGCAAAAGAGAGCUUGAUUGCAAGACAUACAGGUCGAGCAAGGAUGAAAAUCGGACUUAGUGAUCCGGUGGUUCUGCGUGGAAGGGCCAUCGCUCAACGGAUAAAAGCUACCCUGGGGAUAACAGGCUUAUCUCCCCCAAGAGUCCACAUCGACGGGGAGGUUUGGCACCUCGAUGUCGGCUCAUCACAUCCUGGGGCUGUAGUAGGUCCCAAGGGUUGGGCUGUUCGCCCAUUAAAGUGGUACGCGAGCUGGGUUCAGAACGUCGUGAGACAGUUCGGUCCCUAUCCGUCGCAGG